CCACUGAUAUAGAAGGUGAAUACUACAAUCAAGCAAGUGGUUUCCCCAGGGCCAGCCUCAUCCACAGCAUUGUGAAUGUACAGCCCCAUGUGAUUUACCCAAAUGUGGGAAACUCUACUGCAUAAUUUGAAGUAGUAUGGGACUGCAUUUAUACUUUUUCCUG
ensembl:snRNA U1 U1 spliceosomal RNA